rnacentral:rRNA from 1 species
GACAGAGGUGCCAAGCGUUAGGCGGAAUCACUGGGCUUAAAGCGUGUGUAGGCGGAUGCCUAAGUACCUUGUGAAAUCCCCCGGCUCAACCGGGGAACUGCUGGGUAUACUGGGUGUCUUGGGUCAUCUAGGGGCUGCCGGAACAAAUGGUGGAGCGGUGAAAUGCGUAGAUAUCGGGAAGAACACCAAAGGCGAAAGCGCUCUGCUGGGCCGAAACUGACACUGAGAGACGAAAGCUAGGGGAGCGAAUGGG